CCGUAACUAUAACGGUCCUAAGGUAGCGAAAUUCCUUGUCGGGUAAGUUCCGACCUGCACGAAUGGCGUAAUGAUGGCCAGGCUGUCUCCACCCGAGACUCAGUGAAAUUGAACUCGCUGUGAAGAUGCAGUGUACCCGCGGCAAGACGGAAAGACCCCGUGAACCUUUACUAUAGCUUGACACUGAACACUGGUCCUUGAUGUGUAGGAUAGGUGGGAGGCUUUGAAGUGCGGACGCCAGUCUGCAUGGAGCCGCCCUUGAAAUACCACCCUUUAAUGGCUGGUGUUCUAACGUGGGCCCGUGAUCCGGGUUGCGGACAGUGUCUGGUGGGUAGUUUGACUGGGGCGGUCUCCUCCUAAAGAGUAACGGAGGAGCACGAAGGUCAGCUAAUCCUGGUCGGACAUCAGGAGGUUAGUGCAAUGGCAUAAGCUGGCUUGACUGCGAGCGUGACGGCGCGAGCAGGUGCGAAAGCAGGUCAUAGUGAUCCGGUGGUUCUGAAUGGAAGGGCCAUCGCUCAACGGAUAAAAGGUACUCCGGGGAUAACAGGCUGAUACCGCCCAAGAGUUCAUAUCGACGGCGGUGUUUGGCACCUCGAUGUCGGCUCAUCACAUCCUGGGGCUGAAGUAGGUCCCAAGGGUAUGGCUGUUCGCCAUUUAAAGUGGUACGCGAGCUGGGUUUAGAACGUCGUGAGACAGUUCGGUCCCUAUCUGCCGUGGGCGCUGGAGAACUGAGGGGGGCUGCUCCUAGUACGAGAGGACCGGAGUGGACGCAUCACUGGUGUUCGGGUUGUCAUGCCAAUGGCACUGCCCGGUAGCUAAAUGCGGAAGAGAUAAGUGCUGAAAGCAUCUAAGCACGAAACUUGCCCCGAGAUGAGUUCUCCCUGACUCCUUGAGAGUCCUGAAGGAACGUUGAAGACGACGACGUUGAUAGGCCGGGUGUGUAAGCGCAGCGAUGCGUUGAGCUAACCGGUACUAAUGAACCGUGAGGCUUAACCUU
rnacentral:rRNA from 1 species